rnacentral:rRNA from 1 species
UGGGGAAUAUUGCACAAUGGGCGCAAGCCUGAUGCAGCCAUGCCGCGUGUAUGAAGAAGGCCUUCGGGUUGUAAAGUACUUUCAGUCGGGAGGAAGGUGGUAAGGUUAAUAACCUUAUCAAUUGACGUUACCGACAGAAGAAGCACCGGCUAACUCCGUGCCAGCAGCCGCGGUAAUACGGAGGGUGCAAGCGUUAAUCGGAAUUACUGGGCGUAAAGCGCACGCAGGCGGUUUGUUAAGUCAGAUGUGAAAUCCCCGGGCUCAACCUGGGAACUGCAUCUGAUACUGGCAAGCUUGAGUCUCGUAGAGGGGGGUAGAAUUCCAGGUGUAGCGGUGAAAUGCGUGGAGAUCUGGGGGAAUACCGGUGGCGAAGGCGGCCCCCUGGACGAAGACUGACGCUCAGGUGCGAAAGCGUGGGGAGCAAACAGG